GAUUGAACAGCGGCGGCGCGCCCAUGGGCGCGGUGAGGAAAGUCCGGGCUUCACAGGGCAGGAUACCUGCUAACGGCAGGCCGAGGCGACUCGAGGGAAAGUGCAACAGAGAGAUACCGCCGCCGUAUCACCGGGGAUUUCCCCGGCGGACGACGGCAAGGGUGGAAAGGCGGGGUAAGAGCCCACCGGAAUGCAGGAGACUGCAUUGCCAUGUAAACCCUAUCCGAAGCAACAUCAGCUGGAACAAUGCGGCGGCCCGCCGGGUUCCGAAAGAUGGCUCGAGCCGCGCGGCAACGCGCGGCCUAGAUAGAUCGUUGUUCACGACAGAACCCGGCUUACAGAUCCGCUU
rnacentral:RNase_P_RNA from 1 species